rnacentral:rRNA from 1 species
GAUGAACGCUGGCGGCGUGCUUAAUACAUGCAAGUCGAACGGAGACUGUAGCAAUACUGUCUUAGUGGCGAACGGGUGAGUAACGCGUUGGUGACCUGCCCCGAAGAGGGGGAUAACAGUCCGAAAGGAUUGCUAAUACCCCAUGUGGUCGUUUGGAUUAGAUGCCUUACGACUAAACGGAUUUAUUCGCUUCGGGAGGGGCCUGCGUCCCCAUCAGCUAGUUGGUAGGGUAAUAGCCUACCAAGGCGAUGACGGGUAGGGGACCUGAGAGGGUGGCCCCCCACAAUGGAACUGAAACACGGUCCAUACACCUACGGGUGGCAGCAGUAGGGAAUAUUGGUAAUCUGGGAAACCGGGAACCAGCAACGCCGCGUGCGCGAUGAAGGCCUUCGGGUUGUAAAGCGCUUUUUAAAGGGAUGAGGAAGGACAGUACCUUUAGAAUAAGCCUCGGCUAACUACGUG